rnacentral:rRNA from 1 species
UGGGGAAUAUUGGACAAUGGGCGCAAGCCUGAUCCAGCAAUGCCGCGUGUGUGAAGAAGGCCUGCGGGUUGUAAAGCACUUUCAGUGGGGAGGAAAAGCCUGGGGCGAAUACCCCUGGGUCUUGACGUUACCUACAGAAGAAGCACCGGCUAACUCCGUGCCAGCAGCCGCGGUAAUACGGAGGGUGCAAGCGUUAAUCGGAAUUACUGGGCGUAAAGCGCGCGUAGGCGGCUUGAUAAGUCAGAUGUGA